rnacentral:rRNA from 1 species
GACGAACGCUGGCGGCGUGCUUAACACAUGCAAGUCGAACGGAAAGGCCCUGCUUUUGUGGGGUGCUCGAGUGGCGAACGGGUGAGUAACACGUGAGUAACCUGCCCUUGACUUUGGGAUAACUUCAGGAAACUGGGGCUACUACCGUAUAGGAGCUCCUGCUGCAUGGUGGGCGUUGGAAAUUUUCGGCGGUCGGGGAUGGACUCGCGGCUUAUCAGCUUGUUGGUGGGGUAGUGGCUUACCAAGGCUUUGACGGGUAGCCGGCCUGAGAGGGUGACCGGCCACAUUGGGACUGAGAUACGGACCAGACUGCUACGGGAGGCAGCAGUGGGGAAUAUUGCACAAUGGGCGGAAGCCUGAUGCAGCAACGCCGCGUGCGGGAUGACGGCCUUCGGGGUGUAAACCGCUUUCGCCUGUGACGAAGCGUGAGUGACGGUAAUGGGUAAAGAAGCACCGGCUAACUACGUG